rnacentral:rRNA from 1 species
GAUGAACGCUGGCGGCGUGCCUAAUACAUGCAAGUCGAGCGAAGCGGGGACGGGUGAGUAACACGUGGAUAACCUCCUAUAAGACUGGGAUAACUUCGGGAAACCGGAGCUAAACCGGCUCCUUAUAGAUGGAUCCUCGCUGCCUUAGCUAGUUGGUAAGGUAACGGCUUACCAAGUCAACGAUGCAUAGCCUACCUGAGAGGGUGUCCGGCCACCCGGGAACUGAGACACGGUCCAGACUCCUACGGGAGGCAGCAGUAGGGAAGCUUCCGCAAUGGGCGAAAGCCUGACGGAGCAACGCCGCGUGAGUGAUGAAGGUCUUCGGAUCGUAAAACUCUGUUGUUAGAGAAGCGGUAUCUAACCAGAAAGCCACGGCUAACUACGUGCCAGCAGCCGCGGUAAUUC